rnacentral:lncRNA from 1 species
CAUUAAUAUCAAUCUAAUGACAUUCCAUAGGAAUAAAAAUCCAAUGGGAUCCAGUUCUUAGCAGUCCCAGCCUAUUCAGAAGUACAAAGUCAAAUACCAUUUGCACAUCACCAAGAGGUACAAUCUGAUGAGUAACAGGAUAUCUGAUCUAAAAGCUUGCCAGGUUUCACAGGCUGUUUGAGUAUCACCAGGGCAGAUCAAGAAGAAAUAUGAAGGCCAGGUUCAUAACAAGCAGUUGCUUCA